rnacentral:rRNA from 2 species
UUUUAGAAUUUAAUUUAAAGUCUGACCUGCCCACUGAAUUAAUUUAAAUGGCCGCAGUAUUUUAACUGUGCAAAGGUAGCAUAAUCAUUAGUCUUUUAAUUGAAGGCUGGAAUGAAUGGUUGAAUGAAAUAUUAACUGUUUCAUAAAAAAUUUUAUUAAAAUUUUAUUUUUUAGUCAAAAAGCUAAAAUAAAAUUAAAAGACGAGAAGACCCUAUAAAUCUUUAUAUUUAAAUAAUUUUAAUUAUUUAGAUAAAUUAAAUUAUAAUUAUUAAAAAUAUUUUAUUGGGGUGAUAUUAAAAUUUAAUAAACUUUUAAUUUUUUAUUUACAUUAAUUAAUGAAUUUAUUGAUCCAUAAAUUAUGAUUAUAAAAUUAAGUUACUUUAGGGAUAACAGCGUAAUUUUUUUAGAGAGUUCAUAUUGAUAAAAA